UGUCCUCUUGUGUCUGCUGCUGCUGCUGCUGUGUGGACGUGUGUGUGACUUUUCACUUUGUCACAAGUCUGAGAACCAGGAAAGAGGACACCAAUGGAAUGAUCCGGCUAAAAAACCAACAAAUCUGACCUGGAUUCUAAACUCUGCAGGUCCUGUUCCUGAUAGGUUCAAGACCGAUCCCACACAAUCCAGUCACGGACCGCUAUCAUCUUUAAAAGCUGUAAUAAAACGCACAAAAUCAAAAUCUCAGAUCAAGCACAGCAGAGGUAAUUAUAAAAGGUAAAAGCAAUUAUAUCACAUUUGAUUUGUAUAACUAUGGGCCUACA
rnacentral:lncRNA from 1 species